GGACAAUGGAUUUACAGGCAUUGGGGAAUGAUUGGAUGUUGGUGAUGAAGCGAUAAAUGUGACUCAAAACAUGAACAACAGGAAGAACAGUAACAGCAUUCGGCAACAGCACACAUUGUUUCACUGUCUCUGACUGUGCGACAGACUUUAGAUUCAUUUAUCAUCAGUACAGUACACAAUAUUUAUGAAGUUUUAACCUGAACUUUUUUUACUUAAUUUUUCAGUUAUCAUUGUGGUGGAUACCACACCUGAUACAACUACCACUGCUCCACCCACCACACCUAAUUCAACUACCCCAGCUUCAACCGGUGAUGCACCAUUUGUCACAACUCCAUUGACAACAACAACUACCACUGCUUCACCCACCACACCUGAUACAACUAUCCCAGCUUCAACCGGUGAUGCACCAUUUGUCACAACUCCAUUGACAACAACAACUACCACUGCUUCACCCACCACACCCGAUACAACUACCCCAGCUUCAACCAGUGAUGCAGUGUUUGUCACAACUCCAUUGACAACAACAACUACCACUGCUUCACCCACCACACCCGAUACAACUACCCCAGCUUCAACCAGUGAUGCAGUGUUUGUCACAACUCCAUUGACAACAACAACUAUCACUGCUUCACCCACCACACCUGAUACAACUACCCCAGCUUCAACCAGUGAUGCACCAUUUGUCACAACUCCAUUGACAACAACAACUACCACUGCUUCACCCACCACACCUGAUACAACUACCCCAGCUUCAACCAGUGAUGCACCAUUUGUCACAACUCCAUUGACAACAACAACUACCACUCCUCCAACCACUACACCUGGAACAACUACCACUACUCCACUAACCACACCUGAUACAAAUACCCCACCUUCAACCAGUGAUGCACCAUUUGUCACAACUCCAUUGACAACAACAACUACCACUGCUUCAACCACCACACCUGAAACAACUACCACUACUCCAACCACCACACCUGAAACAACUACCACUACUCCAACAACCACAUCUGGAAGAACUACCACUACUCCACCCACCACACCUGAUACAACUACCACUACUCCAACCACCACACCUGAAACAACUACCACUACUCCAACCACCACACCUGAAACAACUACCACUACUCCAACAACCACAUCUGGAAGAACUACCACUACUCCACCCACCACACCUGAAACAACUACCACUACUCCAACAACCACACCUGAGACAACUACCACUACUCCAACCACCACACCUGAAACAACUACCACUACUCCAACCACCACACCUGAAACAACUACCACUACUCCAACCACCACACCUGAAACAACUACCACUACCCCAACAACCACACCUGAGACAACUACCACUACUCCAACCACCACACCUAAAACAACUACCACUACUCCAACAACCACACCUGAAACAACUACCACUACUUCAACUACCACACCUGAAACAACUACCACUACUCCAACAACCACACCUGAGACAACUACCACUACUCCAACCACCACACCUGAAACAACUACCACUACUCCAACAACCACACCUGAAACAACUACCACUGCCCCACCCACCACACCUGAAACAACUACCACUACUUCAACUUCCACACCUGAAACAACUACUACUACUCCACCCACCACACCUGGAAGAAAUACCACUACUCCACCCACCAUACCUCAAACAACUACCACUGCUUCAACUCCAGUGACAACAACAACCACAUCUUCAGGCCCCACUAACACAACAACCCGAGAACUACAAUCUCAACACUACUAUUGUGUUGUAGAACUACAAUUCCAGCAGCAACUAGAAAAAGUGAAGCAUCAACAACCAGUCCAUCAUAACCUGCUGAAACUGCCCUGUUUUCUUUUUGUUCACUAAUAUUUAUUUCUCUCCAUCAUAAUUAUAUUUACAUGUGUUUAUGCAGAUACUGUAGUUUGUAGUCACUUGUCUUCCCUGAUUGACGCCUGUUGUCCUUAAGGUCUCACUUUUUAUUUCUAAUGAAAUUAAUCACCAGGUUAAAUGGUCUUCAUCCAUCAAUACUUAUUUUUUAUUGUAAACUUCAACUUAGGCAGCUCCACUUUGUCACUUGUUUGUUAAAACAAUCUGAACAUAGUGUGUGAUCUUUUAUUUUGCUUAGACUACUGUCAUUUAUUGUGAUCCUGUUUUAGCUCCUAGUGUUUGUAUUAUUUCCUGACCUACACUAACUAUCACUGAACCACAGGUCUCUGUCUGAAGCAAAAUGGUGUUAAAUGGUCUUAUUGGGAUUUUGUUGACUUUUGACAAUUUUCAUCUUCAGGAAACUUGGUUAAAAAUCUUUUUAAUCAUAGUUACAUUCUGGGUAUCAUAAAUCAGAGAUUGACUGAAAAGUGAUAUUUGUAGCAUAGUGAACAUGAGACCAUGUGAUCCAACAGGACAUCAAGAAACUGCCACGCUGACAAGUUUGGUAACCAGGAAACUAAUAAACUAUGUUUCUUGCUUAAUCCUUUGUCA
rnacentral:lncRNA from 1 species